rnacentral:rRNA from 1 species
AGGACGAACGCUGGCGGCGUGCCUAACACAUGCAAGUCGAACGGAGAUUUCAGCAAUGAAAUCUUAGUGGCGAACGGGUGAGUAACGCGUAGACAACCUACCUCCUAGAUGGGGACAACACUGCGAAAGUGGUGCUAAUACCGAAUGUUGUAUUUUGGUUGCAUAACUGAAAUACUAAAGAUGGCCUCUAUUUAUAAGCUAUCGCUAGAAGAUGGGUCUGCGUCUGAUUAGCUAGUUGGUGAGGUAACGGCUCACCAAGGCGACGAUCAGUAGCCGGUCUGAGAGGAUGAACGGCCACACUGGGACUGAGACACGGCCCAGACUCCUACGGGAGGCAGCAGUGGGGAAUCUUCCGCAAUGGACGAAAGUCUGACGGAGCAACGCCGCGUGAGUGAAGAAGGUUUUCGGAUCGUAAAACUCUGUUUUCAGGGACGAAUGUGCAGCUUGUAAAUAAUGAGUUGUAAUGACGGUACCUGAGUAGAAAGCCACGGCUAACUACGUGCCAGCAGCCGCGGUAAUACGUAGGUGGCAAGCGUUGUCCGGAAUUAUUGGGCGUAAAGCGCGCGCAGGUGGGAUAUUAAGUCUGGUGUUAAAGUUCGGGGCUCAACCCCGUGAAGCAUUUGGAAACUGAUAUUCUUGAGUGCAGGAGAGGAAAGUGGAAUUCCUAGUGUAGCGGUGAAAUGCGUAGAUAUUAGGAGGAACACCAGUGGCGAAGGCGACUUUCUGGACUGUGUCUGACACUGAGGCGCGAAAGCUAGGGUAGUGAACAGGAUUAGAUACCCUGGUAAUCCUAGCUGUAAACGAUGGGUACUAGGUGUUGGGGGUAUCGACCCCUCCAGUGCCGGAGUUAACGCAAUAAGUACCCCGCCUGGGGAGUACGGCCGCAAGGUUGAA